rnacentral:rRNA from 1 species
GCUACAUGCAAGUCGAACGCUUCUUUUUCCACCGGAGCUUGCUCCACCGGAAAAAGAGGAGUGGCGAACGGGUGAGUAACACGUGGGUAACCUGCCCAUCAUAAGGGGAUAACACUUGGAAACAGGUGCUAAUACCGUAUAACAAUCAAAACCGCAUGGUUUUGAUUUGAAAGGCGCUUUCGGGUGUCGCUGAUGGAUGGACCCGCGGUGCAUUAGCUAGUUGGUGAGGUAACGGCUCACCAAGGCCACGAUGCAUAGCCGACCUGAGAGGGUGAUCGGCCACAUUGGGACUGAGACACGGCCCAAACUCCUACGGGAGGCAGCAGUAGGGAAUCUUCGGCAAUGGACGAAAGUCUGACCGAGCAACGCCGCGUGAGUGAAGAAGGUUUUCGGAUCGUAAAACUCUGUUGUUAGAGAAGAACAAGGAUGAGAGUAACUGUUCAUCCCUUGACGGUAUCUAACCAGAAAGCCACGGCUAACUACGUGCCAGCAGCCGCGGUAAUACGUAGGUGGCAAGCGUUGUCCGGAUUUAUUGGGCGUAAAGCGAGCGCAGGCAGUUUCUUAAGUCUGAUGUGAAAGCCCCCGGCUCAACCGGGGAGGGUCAUUGGAAACUGGGAGACUUGAGUGCAGAAGAGGAGAGUGGAAUUCCAUGUGUAGCGGUGAAAUGCGUAGAUAUAUGGAGGAACACCAGUGGCGAAUGCGGCUCUCUGGUCUGUAACUGACGCUGAGGCUCGAAAGCGUGGGGAGCAAACAGGAUUAGAUACCCUGGUAGUCCACGCCGUAAACGAUGAGUGCUAAGUGUUGGAGGGUUUCCGCCCUUCAGUGCUGCAGCUAACGCAUUAAGCACUCCGCCUGGGGAGUACGACCGCAAGGUUGAAACUCAAAGGAAUUGACGGGGGCCCGCACAAGCGGUGGAGCAUGUGGUUUAAUUCAAGCACGCGAGAACCUUACCAGUCUGACAUCUUUGACACUCUAGAGAUAGAGCUUCCCUUCGGGGCAAGUGACAGUGCUGCAUGGUUGUCGUCAGCUCGUGUCGUGAGAUGUUGGGUUAAGUCCCGCAACGAGCGCAACCCUUAUUGUUAGUUGCCAUCAUUCAGUUGGGCACUCUAGCAAGACUGCCGGUGACAAACCGGAGGAAGGUGGGGAUGACGUCAAAUCAUCAUGCCCCUUAUGACCUGGGCUACACACGUGCUACAAUGGGAAGUACAACGAGUUGCGAAG